GAUGAACGCUGGCGGCGUGCCUAACACAUGCAAGUCGAACGAAGCAUUUGCGACAGAUUUUUUCGGAAUGAAGUUGCUUAUGACUGAGUGGCGGACGGGUGAGUAACGCGUGGGUAACCUGCCUUGUACUGGGGGAUAGCAGCUGGAAACGGCUGGUAAUACCGCAUAAGCGCACAAUGUUGCAUGACAUUGUGUGAAAAACUCCGGUGGUAUAAGAUGGACCCGCGUCGGAUUAGCUAGUUGGUGAGAUAACAGCCCACCAAGGCGACGAUCAGUAGCCGGGCAGGGAGGGUGGGCGGCGACAUUGGGGCUGGGACGCGGCCGAGACUCCUACGGGAGGGGGCAGUGGGGGAUAUUGCAAAAUGGAGGAAGCUCUGAUGCAGCGACGCCGCGUGAGUGAAGAAAUUAUUCGUGAAGUAAAGCUCUAUCAGCAGGGAAGGUAGUGACGGUACCUGACGAAGAAGCUCCGGCUAAAUACGUG
rnacentral:rRNA from 1 species